GCCCGCCUAGCUCAAUCGGAUAGAGCGUGAGACUUUUACGGUCGCGCGGGCUCGCGUUGAUACGUGCAAUCUCAAGGCUGCGGGUUCGACCCCCGCGGUGGGCU